rnacentral:rRNA from 1 species
UACGUAGGGGGCAAGCGUUGUCCGGAAUCAUUGGGCGUAAAGAGCUCGUAGGCGGCUCAGUAAGUCGGGUGUGAAACCUCCAGGCUCAACCUGGAGACGCCACCCGAUACUGCUGUGGCUAGAGUCCAGUAGGGGAGUGUGGAAUUCCCGGUGUAGCGGUGAAAUGCGCAGAUAUCAGGAGGAACACCGAUGGCGAAGGCAGGUCUCUGGGCCAUUACUGACGCUGAGAAGCGAAAGCGUGGGGAGCAAACAGG